AAGGCUAUCAAGAUGGGUAUCACUAGGGCCCCGAAAUGUCACGGCUGUUACUUCAGAGCACACGACUAGCACACGAGCACCUUUGUUGUUCUCGGCGAGGUCCUUAGCGAGGCGGAGCACCGUGCCACCAGCGAAACAACCCUGUUGAUACAUCAUGAAACGCUUGACCGAUGAGCGGAGGCCUAAAAGCUUAGUGAGCUGAUAGUCAGCGCCGGGCAUGUCCACACCACUGGUUGUGCAAAACACUAGAUGGGUUAUUUUGGACUUGGGCUGACCCCAUUCCUUGAUGGCCUUGGUAGCUGCUUCUUUGCCCAACCUUGGCACCUCCACCACCACCAUGUCCUGUCUAGCAUCCAAUGAAGGUUCCAUGUAUGCACACACACUAGGAUUUUCUUUCAAGAUCUCCUCCGUCAAGUACAUGUACCGCUUCUUGAUCAUGGACUUCUCGCCUGAAAUGCAUGGCAUAAUUAAGUUUGAUAGAUAUCUACCGAGACAAAUAUGUGUUUCUAGUUCUGCAAAUGAAAAUUAAUCAAGGAUCGAUAUAUAUGUAUGUUUGUGUGUGUACCGUAGACACGCACAAGUAUCCUUUUACAAUUAAACAGACAGAGAAUCUGGAUAUCAAAGGUGUUUAUUUGUAAAAUAAUGAAAUAUGAAUGGGGAUAGUCCAUUGACUUGGCUAACUUCUGCAAUUAAUUUGGAGGUUAACAUCCCCAAUAAUAAGGUUAUAAUAUUAUAUUGAUUGAUGUUUAUACUAGAUCAAGACAUGACUGCAUAAUUAAAAAAUAUUCGACUCUAAUAUGUAUGCUAUAAUUAAAAAAAUUCUUCCGUUUGCUAGAACAAGCAUGGAAUAUCUUUAAACGAAAAUGAUCAUGAAAUAAUGUGUAAUAGAAAUGCAAUUAAUAUACAUAUUCAACUUAAUUAUAAGCCUUACACAUUCGCUUGAAUUUUUCUUUAAGCUCCGCCUUGUGCUCACUGUUUGUGAUGCGAAAAUAAUAGUCAGGAUACGUGCUUUGAUCAACACAGUUUGGAGGGGUUGAUGUUCCUAUGGCCAUGAUGGUGGCAGGGCCCUCCGCCCGUUGCGACUUCCGAAUUUCAUCAACGGUCACCAUAUUUUCUUUUUGGUGGCGGCGAAAACCAAGAAAUCAAAUCGAAGGGGUUGAGAGCUGAUCACCGUAACAGUGCCCUGGGUGGUGUAGAUGUGGCAGUGGACUAGCUGCUGGGAGAGUUAGAGAGGGAUGAGUGGGAAAUUCGGAGAGAAUGUGGUCUGUAUAUAUAGCAUAAAAGAGUGAGAGGUUAGCUGAGAUCAAAAUAAGAAGAAGAGGGGUUAGCUGAGAUGUUCACGUGCUGCAUAAAUGCCCUUCUAACCAGUCUACCGAGUAUUUGGUUGGUUUAUAUAUAUAUGCGAUUGUAAUGGAUUUAUAUCACAAAAUAAUUAAAAAUAUGGGCUUUAGUUUAUUACUAAUUUACAUGCUAGCACAUGCUAGCAGUAUACUGCAUGUCAUAUUUUUUUUUAAUAUAAUAAAAAAAAAUUAAGACAUGGAGAAUUAUUUGGUAUUAUUAAAAAUCUUAAAACUUCUCAAUUUGAUUCAUUGUCUAACGUGAGUUUAUAAUUAAAAUCAAGUGAAAUUUUGUUUCGUAUGACUCAUUUAACUUGGUGGAUCUAAAAUUAAUGCAAUUGAUCAAUAAAAAAAUCUAAAAAAAGAUUGAGAUAAAAAUGAUGAACUUUAAUGAAAAAGCCCAUCUCAACUCAAUUUCUUUCCUAGCACAAUUUAAACUUAAGUUUUUUAAAAGUUUACCUAAUAUAACCCUCUUGUUUUGGCUGAUCUAAAGACAACUUGUUCAAUCAAUAAAAUAAAUGAGAAUGAAAUUGAUGGAAAACAAUCGUUUAACUUGGCUCUUUAACUAGCUCGAGUUUAAUAUUAAACUACAUAGGAGUUUCUCCAAUAUAAUUUAAUUGACUUGACAUGUUUAUAAACAAUUCAAUUAACUACUAAAAAAGUAUAAGGAUUUAAUUGAAAAAAAAACAGAUGAAACUAAAAAAAAUGAAAAAACAAGGAUAAAUUGAAUGAAAAAAAAAACACUUCAUGUGGACUUUAAAUACUAAAAAAUAUUACAUUAAUGUCUAACUCAAUAAAAAUAAUAGUUUUGAAACUUCAUCAGGAGUCGAUCCAUGACAAUGCUUAGGUCACAUGUCACUAGUUAAGAGGGUAGACUCAGGUCGACACUAAUCUUUUUUUUUUUUUUUAAAUCAAAACAACAUUAUUAUUAUUUUUAAAAAAAGAAUCAACAAAUUAAUGGUCAUGUUUUGAUCAGUUCAAGUCAUGAUCGACCAAGGCAUCAAGUCAGAACUAAGUUAACUAGGUCAAAUCAAGCUUUUAACUGGAUCAAUUAAUUUUUUUUAUUUUUAUUCAUUUUGGAUAGGUCAAGACUCUAAAUUAACUAGGUGUUGGAUCGAUCUAACAAACCGAUUUAAAUUUUAAAAUAUUUAUAAAGAUAAGAGAUCCAAGAAGAGAAAAAGUCCUUUUAUUUACAUUUAAACCUUUUAUCUUAAGUUCUUAUUGCACUGAUUAAUAAAGAUUUGUUUUUUGAUUCAUACUAGUAAUUAUCUAUAUUUGAUUCUUCAAUCAAUGAGAGACAUGGCGCCUCAUGGAGGUUUUUUUUUUUUUGGGCAUUUAGCUAUUAAAAAUGGGAAAAAAUCUAAAAAUUGUCAAUUUGUUCGCAUCGAUUUUAGUAAGCGAGCUCCCAUUGAAAAGGAUGGGGAAAUAAUUAAUAAUGCAUGUAUAAGUUUUUUAAUCCAGCCCAAUUAGAAUCAAAUUGCAUUAUAUUGUGAGAUAAAUAAUUAAAAUUUUAUAAUCAUAAUUUUUUUUAAAAAAUAAAGAGCUAAAAUAAUCAAUAUUUUUCAGAAAAACAUAAAAUCUCAAGCGACUAGAAAAAAAAUUAAGAACUAAAAUAAGUAAUAAUUCUUAGAAAAAAUAAAACUCCAAGCGACUCAUAAUUUUAUUAAAUAUUAGGAAAUAAUUAAUAAUAAUUUAUUUGAAAACUUUAAAGUGUUUUAAGAAGAAAAUUGAAAAAUUCUCAACCAAUGUUUUGAAAUUGCAUUAAAAUACUAAUAUUUAAUUUUAUAUAAAAAGUUACAAUUUUUUAACAUGUUUGAGAAACUAAAGAUUUUCAAAAUUUCUCAACAGUUAAAAAUUUCAAAGAAAGGACAUUUUAAAAUUUUUAAGAAAUAUAAAAUUAAUUUCAAAAAAGCACAGCCCUUGAUAUUUUUAUUUCUUAGAUAUUUACAAGUUGCAGUCAACUUAAAAUAUAGUACAAUUUAAUCCAAUCUGAUGAAAUCAAUAAAAGUUUAUGAUUACAUCAUAAAAUUUGAUCAAAUGUUUUUCAUGAGGGCUCACUUGUGUUGCCCUAUGUUAUGAGAGAGAGUCAGGGAGUCAAAGGGCAAAGGGCAGCAUGCACGUGAACCAGGAACUAUGGAACGCUAGCUUCCUGUUAGGCAGGUAUUAGGUAAAGAAUGUAAGAUUCAAUUUUGUCAUGCAAAGAGAAUGCCAAAUAAUUUGUGUGAGCUUAUACUUGUCUCUCUCUCUCUCACACACACAAACACGUGCAAGCACGCGCAUAUAUAUAUAUAUAUAUAUAUGAUGAUGAACAGAUUUCUAAACAUUAUUAACAGAUGAAUAAUUCCUUUCGAGUGUCAAAUCACGAGGAAGAACUCAUCAACUUAAAGUCUCCAACCAAUCGUAUAUUUACAUGAUAGUUAGGAAAUGUAAAUUAUAGGAUUCAAACAAAUAAUAUCUUCUUUCUAAUUAACUCCUUGAUUAUUAUUAGCUGAGCUACUAGCUCAUUUGCGUAUUAGUAUAGAGUGAACUUAUAUAUAAUGAGUGUAUAAAAGCGUGGUAAUGAUUGUUUUUUAAAAUAUUUUUUCUUGGAAAUAUAUUAAAAUAAUAUUUUUAUUAUUUUUAAAAAAUUAUUUUUAACAUCAAUAUAUUAAAACGAUGUGAAAAUACUAAAAAAAAAAAACUAAUUUGAUACAAAAAAAUCUAAAAAAAAUAAAAAAAUAUUUUUAAAAUAAAAAAACAAACAAGAUUGUACUAUAUCAGAUACAAAAUUACACGAUUUUUUUUUGUUAGUGCAUGCAAUCAAUUAAAAGAAAAGUUGGUAAGCACGCACCUGAAAACAUCCGAGGGCGGCUUAGAUUUGUAGACUGAAAACCUUAGAACAUAUGUAGUCUCCUGCUUUGCAUGUGUAUUUGAUAGGUUAUUCAUGUAAUUAAAUAAAUUUGAGCUCUAGUAAUUUAAUUUAGUUUUUUUGGUUGCUAUGCAAGAGCUGGGAGAGUUUUCCAAGUGUGUACGUAAUUCAGAGUUCUAGAUCCUAGGAUAUACAAAUAUCAUGAUAUUUUUCAUAAUUAUGAUCCGGAGAUUAAUCCGGAAAAAACAUAUAAGUUAUUGAAUCAUCCACGAAUCAUCAAGUUGGUCCGUAAAUGAAACGACAUCUCAUUUCUGAAACAUCCAAAAAGACGUCGUUUCUAAUGCAAUCUUCUGAGCCAAUUAUAGUUGCCACUUGGCAAAACUUCUCAUCUCCCACCAACCAUUCAUUGUUUUCUUCUCCUUUUCAACUCCCUCUCUCCCAUCAUUUUCUCCAUUUGCAGCGUAUCUACUAAAAUAAUUAGGGUUUUUUAAGCACUGUUUAUAUGAAGAAUUCGUGUCAUAGCUCAGUUAGUUAGCUGUCUAUCUAAGCCUGGAAGUCAUGGGUUUCAGAGCUAGGGAAUCUGAUUUUUUCUUUAAAUAAACGUAAGACAUGUGCUAUCUGUAUUGUUUUUUUUUUUUUUUUUUUUAAUUAUUAAAAAAAAAAAAAAAACAAGCUCAGAUGUACAGCAUGACCUACUACCAGCGGUCAUGUGCUAUGCCUAAUUUUUUUUUUGUUUAUUUUUUUGGUAUUCUAAAUUUGAUUCAAAUUGAUUUUUUUAUUAUUAAAAUUUCUAAAUAAUUUUAUCAUGAUUUCUUUAACUUUCAAUCAUAUAUAAAAUAUCAACAUACUACUUUAAUAUUUUUUUAAAAAAUAAAAAUUAUAUUUUUUUAAUAGAAACAAUAAUUUUAGUUAAAGACUGAUAAUAUUUUCAAGUAAAUAUAUUUUUAAAAUUGAUAAUAAUAAUAUAAAAAAUAUAUACAAGACCCGUACAUUUAAAAAAAAAAAUGGUUUCCCCGUUAGCAGACGAAAUAGUAUAAUCUAUAGCUUUUUAUUUGUCUUUUGUUUUAUAUUUGUACUUCCUUCGUCGUCUUGCUUUGUUCAACGGGAACAGAGAAGGGGAUUCUGGCUGUUUUUUUUUCAACAUUUUUUUCGUUUUUUUUUUGUUAUAUUUAUAAGAUCCUAGAGUCAAUAAUUUUUCAGCAAGUAAUUCUGAUUUUAAUAAUGAAUAUUAUCUUGGAAGAGCAAAUGACCAAAUGUAAAUGAUAGAGUCGAUCAUUAUUUUAGCUUACCUGGUGCAUUAUCUUGCUUAGAAAACUACCGUUUUUUGCUUAGCAGAGGAUUCUGAUGUUUUAUUAUUUUUAAAAUUUUUCUUGAUGAUCUUGCUCUUCAUUGAUAUAUAUAUAUAUAUAUAUAUAUAUAUAUUUUUUUUUUUUUUCCUUUUAACUAAAAUAUGUUAAAGCCUUAAUUCAGUUACUUUUUGUUGGAACUAUUCAGUCUGAAUGAUGGAAAUAGAGGUUUUACGGUGAUUCCAUGGUGAGAGAUUGAAACUAAGCUGGUUGGGAAGGCGGUAUAAACCAUGUUUUUAAAAAAUUUAAUUAUUUUUUUGUUAAAGUAAUUUUUUUUAUAUUUUGAAUCGUUUUGAUGUUCUAAUUUUAAAAAUAAUUUUUUAAAAAAUAAAAAAACAUCAUUUUAAUAUAUUUCAACAUAAAAAACACUUUAAAAAACAUCAAAUUAAAACUCCUUGGUUUAGGAAAAUGAAAAUAAAGUUUGACUGAUUUUUUUUUAAUAUUAAUAUAUAAAAAAUAUUAAAAAAUAUCAAUUUAAUAUUUUUUUCAAACUAAAUAUAUUUUAAAAUACAUCCAAUCACAAUGUUACACGAAUGAAUAACCAAUGCACAUGUGUAGUGUACAUGUUUGUAAAAACACGCAACACCUUUUGAUUUUACAUAUGAUAUUAUGUAGAAUUUUCUACAAAAGAGAUUAUUAGGUGUACAUUGAGUUCCACUCCUCUUUCAUACAAAAACGAGACAGGUUAUAUAAAGAUUGUUUAUCCAUCCUAUUUGAAAUAAGAGAAUGUAUGUAAUUUUAAAGGUGUAAUUUAAUUAGUUAUAUUUUGAAUUUAUUUAUUAAAAAUCAUUAAUUCAAGUUUUAUAAAUCUUGAAAUCAUUAAAGACUUAUAUAGUCGUUAAUUUUAAAGUUCGUUGAAUUAAUCAAGAUAUAUACAAACGGGUCUGGACACUUAUAUUAAUAAUAUAUAUAUAAAAAAAAAUGCAUGUCCAGAAAAUAUUAAGUAAUUCCCCCUUCAAAUAUAAUACCACAAUCAUUAUGUUAUUUUAUGUUGUGACUUAGAUAUUUUUUAAAAUUAAUUUUUUAUAACAGAGUUUACUAUUACAGUUCAGCAAAUUACGUAAAUCCAAACACAACCACCUCGACUCUCUCCCACACUCCUUAUUGGUGCUCUCAAAAGAGACACUCUGUAGAGGAAUGGGGCAUUAUUAAAAGAAGCGAGAGCAUUUUUUUUUACAAAAAAGAAGAAGCCAAUAGAAGUUAUAUUGCAGGCUGCCCAUGUAAAUCAACGGAAGCAGCUUCUAGAUUGUUGGAGCCACACUGUGGAGCACCACAGUCUCAACAGUAAGCCCAGGCCCAAACCCAAAAAGCACACCCCAUUCCAGCCCUUCUCCAGUAGAUUGAAGCCCAUCCUCAGCAGAUUUCUUUCUCAUCUCAUCCAGAAUAAACAACACACAUGCACUCGACAUGUUUCCAUACUCGCUCAGCACGUGUCUAGUGGCUCGCAGUUUCUCAGGUUUCAGCCCCAGCUUAGCCUCCACCUGGUCUAGAAUGGCUGGUCCACCAGGGUGCGCUAUCCAGAAAAGGGAGUUCCAGUCCGCGAUGCCCAGAGGCUUGAACGCCUCCGUUAGGCUCUUCUCAACAUUCUUUGAAAUAAGCCCGGGAACAUCCUUGAGGAGGUGAAAUGUAAGCCCGACUUCACGGAGAUGUCCAUCUAUAGCCCCAUCGCUGUCCGGUAGAAUAGUUUGGGCUGCAGAGACUAGCUCGAAUAAAGGCUUCUCGACUCCGACCACCGGGUCAGAGCCUAUUAUGAGAGCAGCAGCGCCGUCGCCGAACAAUGCUUGACCGACAAGGCUAUCAAGAUGGGUAUCGCUAGGGCCCCGAAAUGUCACGGCUGUUAUUUCAGAGCACACGACUAGCACACGAGCACCUUUGUUGUUCUCGGCGAGGUCCUUAGCGAGGCGGAGCACCGUGCCACCAGCGAAACAACCCUGUUGAUACAUCAUCAAACGCUUGACCGAUGCGCGGAGGCCUAAAAGCUUAGUGAGCUGAUAGUCAGCGCCGGGCAUGUCCACACCACUGGUUGUGCAAAACACUAGAUGGGUUAUUUUGGACUUGGGCUGACCCCAUUCCUUGAUGGCCUUGGUAGCUGCUUCUUUGCCCAACCUUGGCACCUCCACCACCACCAUGUCCUGUCUAGCAUCCAAUGAAGGUUCCAUGUAUGCACACACACUAGGAUUUUCUUUCAAGAUCUCCUCCGUCAAGUACAUGUACCGCUUCUUGAUCAUGGACUUCUCGCCUGAAAUGCAUGGCAUGACAGAAUUAAGUUUGAUAGAUAUCGACCAAGAUAAUAUAUGUGUAAUGGAAAUGCAAUUAAUAUACAUAUUCAACUUAAUUAUAAGCCUUACACAUUCGCUUGAAUUUUUCUUUAAGCUCCGCCUUGUGCUCACUGUUUGUGAUGCGAAAAUAAUAGUCAGGAUACGUGCUUUGAUCAACACAGUUUGGAGGGGUUGAUGUUCCUAUGGCCAUGAUGGUGGCAGGGCCCUCCGCCCGUUGCGACUUCCGAAUUUCAUCAACGGUCACCAUAUUUUCUUUUUGGUGGCGGAGAAAACCAAGAAAUCAAAUCGAAGGGGUUGGGGGCUGAGCACCGUAACAGUGCCCUGGGUGGUGUAGAUGCGGCAAUGGACUAGCUGCUGGGAGAGUUAGAUUGGGAUGUGUGGGAAAUUCGAAGAGAAUGUGGUCUGUAUAUAUAGUGUAAAGGAGGGAGAGGUUAGCUGAGAUCAAAAUAAGAAAAGAGGGGUUAGCUGAGAUGUUCACGUGCUGCAUAAAUGCCCCUUCUAACCAGUCUACCGAGGACUUGAAGGGUCCGUCGUAGCUGACAAUAAAAAUAAAUGUUCUGUUAGUUAAUAUAUGCGAUUGUAAUGGAUUUAUAUCACAAAAUAAUUAAAAUAUGUGUUUUAAUUUAUUACUAAUUUACAUGCUAGAACUGCAUGUCUUAUUAAUUUUUUUUAAUAUAAUAAAAAAGAUUUAAUACAUGAAGAAUUAUUUGGUAUAUUAAAAAUCUUAAAAACUCUCCAUUUAACUCAUUGGAUAACAUGAAUUUAGAAUUAAACUGUGUGAAAGUUUUUCUAGCAUGACUCAUUUAACUUGGCCAGUUUAAAAUUAACCCGACUGGUCAAUAAAAAAAUCUAAAAAUAAAAUUAAGAUAAAAAUAAUGAAUUUGACAUAAAAAAACCUCUUAACUCAAUUUUUUUCCUAGCAAAAUUUUAAACUUAAAUUUUUUAAGACCCUGUUAAUUUGACUGAUCCAAAGGCAACUUGUCCAGCAAAUAAAAUAAAUGAGAAUGAAAUUGAAUAAAAAAAAUGAAAUUAAUGGAAAAAACCUCUUAAUUUAACUCUUUAACUAGCUCGAGUUUAAAAUUAAAUUAUAUAGUUUUUUAGAAGUGAUUGAGUUGACUUGACAUAUCUAAAAAUAAUUCAAUUAGCUAUUAAAAAAAUAUUAGGAUUUAAUUUGAGAAAAAUAUGAAAUUAAAAUAAAAAAUGAAAAAAAAAUAUAUAAAAAAAAGCUUUACUGCUCAUAUGAACUUUAAAUACUAAAAAAGGUUUCAAUGCUUAACUCUCAAAAAAUAUUAUAAUUUUAAAACUUGAAGACAAUGCCUAGAUCGUAUAUCACUAAUCUGGAUGGUAGACUCGAGUCAAUUCUAAUUUUUUUAUUUUUUAAAAAGGAAUCAAAACAAUAUUAUUUUAAAAAAUAAAAAUAAAAAAUCAACAAAUUAAUGGUUAUGUUUUUAUCAAGUCAAGUCAUGGUCGUCUGAGUCAUCGCUCGGGUUAAGUCAACUAAAUCAAAUCAAGCUUAUGGCUAGAUCAAUAAAAAUAAAAAGUUAUAUUUAUAUGUGUGUGCAAGUCUUAGUUUGAGUUUGUAAUUAUACAAAAAAAAAAAAUAUCUAUCAAGUUGAUAUCCAUAGAUAACCCUAUCUCCAUUAAUAUAUUUAUGAAAGAAUGUUUCUUCUAAGAUCCUUCAUCUGCCGGCAUGCAAGCUUGAGGAUGCCACCUCUUGUCCUUUCUCGGUCCACAUAAAGGGGUUAUUUUCUCGUAAUGCCAUACUUUUAUUUUCUUUCAUUUCUUUUAACACUAGUAAUUACUCAUUAAAUAAUAAGGUAAUUAAUAAAAAAAAGUCCAUUAAUUUAAAUUGGAGUUAAAUUGAUGUCCUGUCUCCAUCUAUAUAUUUUAAAAUAAUUCUUCCCUGAGAUCCUUCGAGGGAAGCAUGCAAGUCAAAGGAUGCCAUCUCUGAUCCUCUCUCGGCCUGUAUAAAGAAGUUACUUUCAACUUCUUUGCCUUUUCACUAUGCAGUUGGUCCUUUAUUUCUUCGGACAAUAGGUUUAGAGAGUUUGUUUGAUAUUUUAUAUGUAAAGAGCUCCAUGUCUCGACAAGAAUAUUGUAUCAGAAAAUUCGGAAGGAAACUCCAUUUCAUCCAUCGAUUAUACCAUUACUUCGAAACGUUUUUCAGUUGCUAGUGUACUCCGAAUAGUUAUCAUCUCAAAACUUGUACGGUUAUCGUGCCAGACUUUAACCCUGUCAAGAUCAUUUCACGUGCUGUGCUGUCAUGCUGAUACAGAUUAUAAUUUACAAAAUACAGCAAUAACUAGGUUAUUUCGUUGCGGUUAGAAUUUUAUAUAUUGAUUAUAAUUUUUUUUUUAAAAUAAAUUAUUCAACUUGAUCCAAUCAUUUAAAUUUUAAAAAAAUUUAUUUAACUUUUUUUUAGCUUGAAUUUUAAAUUAAAUUAUAUAAUAAUUGUUCUAAUAUAAUCUUAUUGACAAGAUAAUCUAAAAUAAAAAACAAAAAAAUAAAAACAUAUAAAAUGCAUCCUAGUUAAUCUGUUAAAUCCACAAUCUAAAUUUUUAAAAUUUUAUUAGAUUAAAUUAAUUUUUUUAUUUUUUUUAUAUAAUUAAAAAAUAAAAAAAAUAAUUUACAAUUAAUUUAAUAAAAACUUAAUAUUAAAAGAUAAAAUUUUAAAAAUAAUUAAAAAAAUCAAUAAUAAAAAUAAAAUUAUGAGCCUGUUUAAAAAAAGCCUUAGGGCAUGGGUUAAGGUACGCUCAUGUGCCUUGGUAAUCCGCUCCUUUAAAAAACAAAAAAACAAAUACAGACUGACAAGUCAUUUGUGGUUAAUAGAAAAUAUCAAUACCCCAAGAGCUCGAAAACAAGAAUUUUAGCCCCAAGUCCUGUCAUGUCAAUUGCUGUUGAGCAAUAAUACGGGGGUACGAUAGUUAUAAUUUUUUUUUUCCAGAUGGAGCUCAUCUCAAAUUCUAUAUUUAUUUUUUAGAAAUUAUUGUUUCAAGUUCUAUAAAUUUUAAAAUUAUUAAAUAUUUAUAUAUUUAUUAAUUUUAAAAUUUAUAAAAUUAAUCAUGUAACCUGAUUUAAAUAUUUAUAUUAAUAAUAAAAAAAUAUAAGGUUUUGGGAAUUUGGAGUCAACGACUUCAUCCUCGGGUUUUAGAUUUUAAAAAUAGAUGAGUAGAAAUAGAGUAUAAUAUAGUGGUGGGGUGUCGUUUCAGAGUUAGGAGAGAACCCGAACCCACAAUCAAUCAAUGGGGUCAUGACGACAAAAGCAGCAGUGCUUUCCUGCAGGAGGUGUCAUUGUCGAAUUUUACUUCAAAUUCUCUCAUUUUCAUCCCUCUACUUUAUUUUUACUGCGUUUCAUGCUUACCUUUGGCUUGCCUGUACUGGAAAGUUUUUUUUUGCUUUGCCCCGCAGGAUAGUUAACGCGGUAAAAAGGGUUCUGAUGGUUACAACGGUAGCCAUGGCUCAAAUCAAUUUUUAAUCGUGUCAGGAAAUAAUUUUUUAAUAAUUAAAAAAAUAAAAAACCUACCCACCUAUCCUAGUUUUGUCUAAUUUGUAUCCGAGUACGAGGGUGCGGAUCCGAAUUUCUUCAUAUGCUAGUUAAGAAAGCAAUACCAAUGUCCUACAAAAAGAUCUUUUUUUUUUUUUCUUUUUUUUUCUUUUUGCAUGUUUCAUUUAUCGGAAGCAAGGUUUUCUAGUGACCCAACAUUCAAUUUAAAUUUUAUUUUUAGUAACAUGGAAGCUUGAAAAUAUCUUAAUGGUACUCUUUUUAUUAAGAGAAAUAUAUUGACACCGCAUUUUGUUUUUUUUUUUAGUUGAAUCUAUCUAAUUGAUUAUCUUUUUUUAUUAUUUUCCAGUAAUUUUUUUUCUUUUUUAAAACUCAAUGAUUGAAAUGUAAAUAAAAUAAAAUAAAAUAUUUUACUCGAAUAUAAAAGUUAAAAAAAAGGAUAAAAAAGGCAAAAAAACUCUUGAGCAUUUUUUUAAAGCCUGUAAUUUGGCCUAAUUGUAAACAGAAACAAACAGGUAAAAACUUGUGUUAUUUACUCUACUAAUAAAGGGGUGACUUUUAGCUUGGAAAAAGAAGUAGGAGAAAAUAAAGUAAUUAUGAUUGUCACAUUUGAGGGAGGUGCUGCCGUGGGAGAAGUGUUGGUAAGACUUUUCUCGUGCAAGCUACAUGCUUUUAUUAAAUACUAAUUAGGUGGCGUACACUCCACCACAUACCAACUUCUUAUCUUCAUAAAAAGUAUACAAAAAAAACUUAAGAUUUAAGAAUGUUAAAUCUUCCUACAAUACUAUAUAUUCGAUAAUAAUAUUUAUAAUAUAAAUAAUAAUAUUUAAUUUAUCUAUCUAAAUUCUAAUAUUUUUUAGUCUUUUUUAAAAAUAUAGUUUUUCUUCAAUAAUAAUAAUAAUAUUUUUUUAAAAAAUUAUUAAUGACAACAACGAUAACAAUAACAAAUAAUAAUAAUUUUUAAUUUUAUCCUUCAAAUCAAAUCUAUGGUUGUUUUAUAAUAUUGAUAAUAAUUUUUUUCAAGUAAUAAUUUAUUAUUUGUACUAAAAAUAUUAGUAUUUUUAUUAUAAAUAACAUUAUUAAUAAAAUAAUUAAUAAAUUUGAGAAAACAUAUUAUGAAUAUUGUAAAACUACCAUAGAUUUGAUUUGAAGGGUAAAAUUAAAAAUUAUUGUUGUUGUUUUUGUUAAUAAAAUAUUUAAAAAUAAUAUUAUUACUAUUAAAAAAACCGUUAAUUUUAAGGCAUUAGUUUUUGGUCCGGAUACGAAUUGAGUCCUGACAUGAGAUCUAUUAGCUUUGGGUUUGGAAAUAGAUGCAUUAUCAAUGAAUCCAGACCCAGGGGAGUGGGUGUGUAGAUACCAGGCGUGAUGGUCUGCACCCAACACGCAAGUCUGCAAAUAUCAAUUGUCCGCAGUCUGGGAUUUGCCCAUCAUGCCCCACCAAAAUAAAUACUUAUUAUUUUCUUUCAAAUCAUUCCUUUAAUGUUAAAUGCUUCCCAGUGAAAAGCCAAUCUCAUCAUUCCUGUAUGGUCUUUGUAACUCCAUGUGUCAAUGACAACUCUAUCAUCAUAUUAUUUCAAUUUACAAUACCAUGAAUCUUGAGGAACAAGGUUUUUACUAAUGCUAUUUCAAUUCAUAUUACAAUAAAUCUUGAGAAACAGGACUUUCCUGGAUUUUACAAGCUGGGAUAUAUAGAUUUGACUAAUUAAAAAAAUAAAGAACAAUAUAAAAAGAGGCUAGGAAAUGUGCUAAGAGGAUUACGAUGACUUUCUGGCAAAAAAAACAAAAAACAAAAGAAAAGAAAAGAAAAGCCUAGGCUCACCUUUACCUGCUAUGCCAAGCCCUGCCCUUUCUUUUAAGAAAAAAACAAGUACAAUAUUCAACGUGGUGGCAGAGUCAAGGAACGAGAACUAUAAACUGAGAAUACCUGAUUAUUUGUUAAUAAUUUUAUUGAGGAGAACUUUAAUUUUAUUUUUUAUCAUUUUUUUUUCUUUGAAAAUAGUAUCUUCCACCGUAAUUAAUUGACUGCUCAUAGAGUCUAGGACCACUGUUUAUUACAAACGUACUCACAUCCAAACACAACCACCUCGAGGCUUACCCUAGUGCUCUCAAAAGAGACAUAUUCUGCAGAGGAAGAGAGCACAAUUAAAAGAAACAAAGAGUAAAUUGAAAAAAAAAAAAAAAAAAAAGAGCCAGUGGAAGUGUGGGCUGGCUAUGUAAAGCAACGGACGCUGCUUCUAAACUCUAGCAGCCACACUGUGGAGCACCACAGUCUCAACAGUAAGCCCAGGCCCAAACCCAAAAAGCACACCCCAUUCCAGCCCUUCUCCAGUAGAUUGAAGCCCAUCCUCAGCAGAUUUCCUUCUCAUCUCAUCCAGAAUAAACAACACACAUGCACUCGACAUAUUUCCGUACUCGCUCAGCACGUGUCUAGUGGCUCGCAGUUUCUCGGGUUUCAGCCCCAGCUUAGCCUCCACCUGGUCUAGAAUGGCUGGUCCACCAGGGUGCGCUAUCCAGAAAAGGGAGUUCCAGUCCGCGAUGCCCAGAGGCUUGAACGCCUCCGUUAGGCUCUUCUCAACAUUCUUUGAAAUAAGCCCGGGAACAUCCUUGAGGAGGUGAAAUGUAAGCCCGACUUCACGGAGAUGUCCAUCUAUAGCCCCGUCGCUGUCGGGUAGAAUAGUUUGGGCUGCAGAGACUAGCUCGAAUAAAGGCUUCUCUACUCCGACCACCGGGUCAGAGCCUAUUAUGAGAGCAGCAGCGCCAUCGCCGAACAAUGCUUGACCGACAAGGCUAUCAAGAUGGGUAUCGCUAGGGCCCCGAAAUGUCACGGCUGUUAUUUCAGAGCACACGACUAGCACACGAGCACCUUUGUUGUUCUCGGCGAGGUCCUUAGCGAGGCGGAGCACCGUGCCACCAGCGAAACAACCCUGUUGAUACAUCAUUAAACGCUUGACCGAGGAGCGGAGGCCUAAAAGCUUAGUGAGCUGAUAGUCAGCUCCGGGCAUGUCCACACCACUGGUUGUGCAAAACACUAGAUGGGUUAUUUUGGACUUGGA
rnacentral:lncRNA from 1 species